AGAGAUGUAGCUGAAUGGUAGAGCAUCUGCUUUGUAUGCAAAAGGUUCCAGGGUUCAACCCCUGGCUUGCCCA